GAGAGAAAGGAAGAUAGAGGAGGAAGAAGAGGGAAAGGAAGAUAGAGGGGAGGAAGAGAGAAAGGAGAUAAAGCUAGGGUUGAUAACAGUACACUGUAAAUCCAGAUACUCAAAACUUGUGAGGAAACUCAUUGCACUUAAUAUAUCUGAGCAGUGGUGUAAAGUACUUAAGUAAACAAUACUUUAAAAAAUGACUACUUAAGUAUUUUGUGGGGUCUAUGUACUUUACUUUACUAUUUAUAUUUUUGGCAACUUUUACUUUUACUUCAAUACAUUCCGAAAUAACAUUUUGACAGGAGAAUUGUCCAAUUCACACACUUGUCAAAAGAACAUCUCUGGUCAUCAUCCCCUUUUCCCUCUGAUCUGGCGGACUCACUAAACACAACUGCUUCAUUUGUUAAUGAUGUCUGAGUGUUGUAGUGUGCCCCUGGCUAUACAUACAUUUAAAAAUGAAAAGACAAUUGUGUCAUCUGGUUUGAUUAAUAUAAGGAAUUUGAAAUGAUUUAUACUUUUACUUUUGAUAUUUAAGUACAUUUUAGCAAUUCCAUUUACUUAAGUAUUUUUAAAACCAAAUCAUUGUAGAUUUUUACUCAAGUAUUAUUUUACUGGGUGACUAUUACUUUUCUGUUAAGGUAUCUUGUACUCAAGUAUGACAAUUUAGUACUUUUUUCACCGCUGUAUCUCAGUACAGUUACUUAAAGUGAUAUUGUCACUGUGACAAUAGAUUUGAGUUGUAUCAACAUGAACAUUUAGAGUAAUGCCCCCACUAAGCCACACCUCCAAUAUAAUUUACCAGCAUACCUUGCCUUUCAGAGUGAAGUGUAGACUUACCACCCAUGACAGUACUUGUUAGUGACAGAGACAUGAUUGUUGAAUUCGUUCAUUUUCAGUCCUGUGGCCUUCACCAAGUGAGUUCCUAGGUGAAUGUUAUCAUUAUAAUAAAACUCAUUAUGACAAUACAUUACAUAUCUCAUAAAGCCUUAUUAUGAAUCCUAGCUAUACUUUAAUACAUUGGCAUGAAACUCAUGGUUUACAGGCCACAUAAGGCCUUCAAGUAGAUUUGCAAAAUUCCGGUAACUUUCCCCAAAUUCCCAGAUGUAUUCUUUUUUUUAAUGGAGUUGAUGUGACUUAUCAUUUAGUUUUGAGUCAGUACUACAUAAACAUUUAAAGCACUAAUGACUUUUCAUUGAGUUCAACUUACGAGUAGUAUUUGAGUUAAAAUGCCUUGGGUUUUACAGUGUAGUUUGUGGUCAAUUCCAAGUUAUUUCCUGUUAGUAGAUUUGCAAAUGGAAAAUCUUAAGUGCAAUUUAUAAAAAAUGAAAACAACACUACGCAUCAAUUCCACGUCCAAUGAAAGUAAGACAUUGAUUUAGCAGCUUUUCUACAUAAACUAGGUGAUGGAGGAAAUUGAUUUAGCAGCUUUUCUACAUAAACUAGGUGAUGGAGGAAAUUGAUUUAGCAGCUUUUCUACAUAAACUAGGUGAUGGAGGACAUUGAUUUAGCAGCUUUUCUACAUAAACUAGGUGAUGGAGGAAAUUGAUUUAGCAGCUUUUCUACAUAAACUAGGUGAUGGAGGAAAUUGAUUUAGCAGCUUUUCUACAUAAACUAGGUGAUGGAGGAAAUUGAUUUAGCAGCUUUUCUACAUAAACUAGGUGAUGGAGGACAUUGAUUUAGCAGCUUUUCUACAUAAACUAGGUGAUGGAGGACAUUGAUUUAGCAGCUUUUCUACAUAAACUAGGUGAUGGAGGACAUUGAUUUAGCAGCUUUUCUACAUAAACUAGGUGAUGGAGGACAUUGAUUUAGCAGCUUUUCUACAUAAACUAGGUGAUGGAGGACAUUGAUUUAGCAGCUUUUCUACAUAAACUAGGUGAUGGAGGAAAUUGAUUUAGCAGCUUUUCUACAUAAACUAGGUGAUGGAGGAAAUUGAUUUAGCAGCUUUUCUACAUAAACUAGGUGAUGGAGGAAAUUGAUUUAGCAGCUUUUCUACAUAAACUAGGUGAUGGAGGACAUUGAUUUAGCAGCUUUUCUACAUAAACUAGGUGAUGGAGGAAAUUGAUUUAGCAGCUUUUCUACAUAAACUAGGUGAUGGAGGAAAUUGAUUUAGCAGCUUUUCUACAUAAACUAGGUGAUGGAGGAAAUUGAUUUAGCAGCUUUUCUACAUAAACUAGGUGAUGGAGGAAAUUGAUUUAGCAGCUUUUCUACAUAAACUAGGUGAUGGAGGACAUUGAUUUAGCAGCUUUUCUACAUAAACUAGGUGAUGGAGGAAAUUGAUUUAGCAGCUUUUCUACAUAAACUAGGUGAUGGAGGAAAUUGAUUUAGCAGCUUUUCUACAUAAACUAGGUGAUGGAGGAAAUUGAUUUAGCAGCUUUUCUACAUAAACUAGGUGAUGGAGGACAUUGAUUUAGCAGCUUUUCUACAUAAACUAGGUGAUGGAGGAAAUUGAUUUAGCAGCUUUUCUACAUAAACUAGGUGAUGGAGGAAAUUGAUUUAGCAGCUUUUCUACAUAAACUAGGUGAUGGAGGACAUUGAUUUAGCAGCUUUUCUACAUAAACUAGGUGAUGGAGGACAUUGAUUUAGCAGCUUUUCUACAUAAACUAGGUGAUGGAGGAAAUUGAUUUAGCAGCUUUUCUACAUAAACUAGGUGAUGGAGGACAUUGAUUUAGCAGCUUUUCUACAUAAACUAGGUGAUGGAGGAAAUUGAUUUAGCAGCUUUUCUACAUAAACUAGGUGAUGGAGGAAAUUGAUUUAGCAGCUUUUCUACAUAAACUAGGUGAUGGAGGAAAUUGAUUUAGCAGCUUUUCUACAUAAACUAGGUGAUGGAGGACAUUGAUUUAGCAGCUUUUCUACAUAAACUAGGUGAUGGAGGAAAUUGAUUUAGCAGCUUUUCUACAUAAACUAGGUGAUGGAGGAAAUUGAUUUAGCAGCUUUUCUACAUAAACUAGGUGAUGCAGGAAAUUGAUUUAGCAGCUUUUCUACAUAAACUAGGUGAUGGAGGACAUUGAUUUAGCAGCUUUUCUACAUAAACUAGGUGAUGGAGGAAAUUGAUUUAGCAGUUUCUUUACGUAAACUCUGUGGAAGAAUUUGGGGGAAAGAUCUUCAAGUUGAGAAAUAGCUUGAGUCAUGGGACAAUAUUACAGUACAUUUACCAUCUAAUGCACUCUUGAUAACUAUUCAACAAUAUUAACUAAUAUAUUAUAUCAAACAUGUAUUAAUUAUUUGUUCUGUCUUGGUGCAACCGUUUUUCGUUCUGUCUUGAUGUAACCAUUCUUUCUAUCUUGAUGUAACCAUUAUUUCUAUCUUGAUGUAACCAUUAUUAAUUCUGUCUUGAUGUAACCAUUCUUUCUAUCUUGAUGUAACCAUUAUUCAUUCUGUCUUGAUGUAACCAUUCUUUCUAUCUUGAUGUAACCAUUAUUCAUUCUGUCUUGAUGUAACCAUUCUUUCUAUCUUGAUGUAACCAUUAUUCAUUCUGUCUUGGUGCAACCGUUUUUCGUUCUGUCUUGAUGCAACCAUUCUUUCUAUCUUGAUGUAACCAUUCUUUCUAUCUUGAUGUAACCAUUAUUCAUUCUGUCUGGAUGUAACCAUUCUUUCUAUCUUGAUGUAAACAUUAUUCAUUCUGUCUGGAUGUAACCAUUCUUUCUAUCUUGAUGUAACCAUUCUUUCUAUCUUGAUGUAAACAUUAUUCAUUCUGUCUGGAUGCAACCAUUUCUAAACAUUCUUAAUGCAAACCGACCUAUCUCCCCUAGCAGGGCCAUAUAUUCAAAAAGCUUCUCAGAGUGGUAGUGCUGAUCUAGGAUCA